rnacentral:rRNA from 1 species
UACAGAGGUGGCAAGCGUUGUUCGGAAUUACUGGGCGUAAAGGGCGCGUAGGCGGCCAUCUAAGUCAGACGUGAAAUCCCCCGGCUUAACCUGGGAACUGCGUCUGAUACUGGACGGCUUGAGUAUGGGAGAGGGAUGUAGAAUUCCAGGUGUAGCGGUGAAAUGCGUAGAUAUCUGGAGGAAUACCGGUGGCGAAGGCGGCAUCCUGGACCAUUACUGACGCUGAGGUGCGAAAGCGUGGGGAGCAAACAGG